GCAAUUGGUCCAAACCCCCCGUCUCGUUUGCGGGCACCGGCGUCACCUUGAUCACCUUGUGCGAGACUUUAGACGAGCAUAAGCCCAUCUUCUCACGGACUGACUAAAACAUCGACUCCGGAGCACCUCCCGCAUCACCUGACAAAUUGCGUGGCAAAGACCCAUCCAGCCCUACGAGACUCUGCUGCCAAAGUCCAUCUGUAUGACUAAUUAACAUACUAACCCAUACGAUUUCGGAAUGUGGAAGGAGACAGGAGCAUCCGGAGACAGUCCAUGCUGUCAUGGGGAGAAUGUAUGAAUGACUCACAGACUACAAUGGGAUUAAACCCGUAUUGCUGGUGCCAUAAUACCCGACAUGAUGCACCAUGCCACCAUUACCAUCCUUAUUACUUCAGGGUCUCCCAGCUGUCCAUCCUUGUCUCCAAUAUCCGAUGAUAAUUAUUGGAAUAGCUAUGCGAGAUCCACUUUGACACAAGGCAAUUCAUAAUACAUGAGAUUUGCUUUUGCAAAGAAAGGGGACGUGGCAUGCAAAUGGUGGAUGAAUCUCCAAUCAAGUCGUAGUUGUCCGAGUCAAUCAUGACCCCAUGAUGUUGGUCCUCCUGAUUUUACUACAUACAAGUUCAAUGUGGCUUGUUGGUUGCUGUAUUUCAUUGUCAUGAAUGCCAUUCCCACAGGAGUUAUCCUUCCUCCAGUAUAAGUUCUUAGUUGGAUAUCUUCAGACUUCAGUAUCUUUGAAAUUCUGUUCAAACUCAUUUUGUGCAAAGACUGAAACAGCUGAGCCCAUGUCCAAUUACAUUUUAAUUAAUUUCCUGUUCACUUCUGUCGUUAGCCAUAUUGUGUGUCUCUUGUUAGCUAUCCAUUCCUGUGUCACUCCCAUCAUUAUCAGAUUUUUCAUUAACAACAUGCAGAUUAGUGCUCUUUUUGAAACUGCAAUUUGAAUUGCAAUCAUUUUCUUUUCCUUGUUCAGUCCAUUUACUUUUGUUUGUCUGACAUGCUCUUUGUACAUGUCCUCCUUUGUUGCAUUUCCUGCACAUUUCUCCUUUAAACUUGCAUUGGUCUGGUGUAUGUGAGCUCCUGCCUGUCACAAUGGUAACACAAUUGUAUAGCCAGGCCUAUUUCUGUUCAGAUGUUUUCAAUUUGUUUUCACUCCCUUUCAUUUUUGACUGUAACUCAAUUUCACCUCUGUUUGCUGUUUCCAGUGAGACAGCAAUUUCAACUGCUCUUUUAAAUGUAAGUUGUGCUUCAUUUAGGAGCUCUUUUAAAAUGCUUUCUUGUAAGAUUCCACAAAUUAAACAAUCUCUCAGUGCAUCAAUAAUACCAUCAGUGAACUGACAAUGCUCAAUCUCUUCAAAAUACUGUUCAAUUUGCUCGGUGUACAAUAUCCAGCUCUCUAUUGCGCAAUUGAGCAUGUCUAUAUUUCCAAUAUAGCCAACCAUUCCUGCUUUUUACUUAUGAUUAUUAUCACCCAAUACUCAUUGUUUAUGAACCCAUUAAUUUAGUCCAUUUCUGCCUUUUUUUUAACUGCUCUUGCAGAGAAAAAAAGUAGCGAUUUUUUUAAACCCAACUGUUUCUGGAAGCACUUAUUAUUUAAUUUGAAUGUCUCACUUCACUCAACAGAUAGGUAGUCAUCACAGGUUCAUUUAAAACAUCCUCAACACCACUGUUAUGUUUUGAAACUAAUUGAAAUAAAAACAUGGAGCCAAGAAUAACAAUUCUAGCUUCAUUUUUACUUUAAGGAAGGCACACAUGUAUGACAUGGUGGCUUCAUGACAUAUGCUAUUCACUUUAUUUUACAUAUAACCUGUAAUUAAUCAUUUAAAUAAACAAGAACACUUAAUCAAACAAUAACAAUAUUAUUAAAAUACUGCUGAAAUAUUAAAUUUACAACAGAGAUGUUUAGCAAUCAACAGUUCAAGUGUUAAAGUUCUUAAUAGAGCAGAAUUUUUCAUUGAGCUUCUGGUGCAAAAUAGGAGAUACUGCAUCAAUUACCCAUUAAAUACUCAGUUACACUGACUUCAACAGAAAUUAGUAAGAUAACAAAUUACUGAUAAAGACCACCCCAGUCAAACAAUUGUCCCUAGUACCUGUUUGAUUUGUUCUUUUUAAUAUCCAGUAGUUAGAAUCAUAGAGCAAUACAGCACAAGUACAAGCCAUCUAACCCAGCCAGUCAAUGCUGUCCAUGGUGCCCAUACACCUAGGCCCAAUUUUCUCUGUUCAGCUUAUAUCUAUGUUCUGCUUCUGUAUGUACACAUCCAAGAGCUUCUUAAAUGAUACUAUUAUACCCACUUCAACCACUUCCUCUGGCAGCUAGUUCCACAUACUCACCACGGUCUUUGUGAAAAAGUUAUCUCUCAACUCCCUUUUAAAUCUUUCAGCUUUCACCCUACACCUAUGCCUCAUGGUUUUGGACUCUCUUACCUUGGCAACUUAUCCAACUUAUCUGUGAUUUUAUAAACCUCUACAAGAUCACCCCUCAUUCUCCUACACUCCAAGGUAUAAAGAUGUCGCAUGGCCAACCUCCCCCUAUAACUCAGGCCCUCUAUUCUUGGCAAUUUCUUUGUAAUUAUUUUAUGCAUUUUUCACACUUUAACAAUGUCACUCGAACACAGUACUCCAAGAGCAACACAUACAACUUGCAACUUAAUGUCCCAAUUCCAAUACUCAAAGAAGAUCAUUAGGCUUUCUUAGCACCCUCUCUAUCAGUGAUGCUACUUUCAACAAAAUAUGUACUUGUACUCCUCGAUCCCUCUGUCCCAUUGCACUCCCCCAUGGCAUACUAUUCAUAGUUUAAGUCCUAUGGUUUGACUUUCCAAGCUGCAUCACCACACUUAACUGUACUGAAGUCCAUUUGCUGCACCUCAGUUCACUUCUCUAACUAAUCAACAUCCCCCUGUAAUCUAUGAUAACCUUAUUCAUUAUCAAUACCUCCUAAUUUUGUGUCGCCAUCCACAAACUUUUUGAUCAAGUUUUAUGCAUUUGCCUCCAAAUUACUUAAAGCAUAGAAAUAACAAUGGUACCAAUAUCACUCCUGCAGCACACCAAUAGUCACUGGCAUCCACUCUGAGAAACAACCUUCAAAUACCACCUUCUGCUUCCAACCUCCAAGUCAAUUUUGAAUCCCCCAAACUUAACCUUCCUGACCAGCCUGCCAUGCAGGACCUUGUUGAAUGUCUGGUUAAAGUCCAAAUAGACAACCUCCACCACCCUAUUCUCAUCUACCUUUUUGGUUACCUGUUCAUGUAACUAUUAGGUUCAUUAAGCGUGACUUUUUGUGCACAAAGCUAUGCUGGCUCUUCCUAAUCAGAGUGUGUCUGUCCAAAUGCUGAUAUAUCCUGUUUCUCAUAAUUCCCUCCAGUAAUUUCCCUACUAUUGAUGUCAGGUUGACCAGCCAGUAGUUCCUUUGCUAUUCUUCUUAAACAAUGGAACAUCAGCACCUUCCUGUCUUCAGGAAUGUUGCCAAUGACUAAUGAUGAAGCAAAUAUCUCCACAAUUUCUCCUCUAGCAACCCGUGUUCUCCUGGUGCAUUUGGUUAGGCCCUAUCCACCUUAAUGUGCUACAAGGCUAGGAAUGCCACCUCCCUGUAAUAUGAAUUUCCCUUAAACCAUCUCCUUUAUCUCUUGAUGAUCUAAUUUCCCUUAUCUCUUGAUUUUCUCCUCAGUAAACAUUGAGGAGAAAUAUUCAUUAAAAAUCAAAUGCAUCUCUUAUGGCUCAAGGUGCAGAGGGUACUGCUGAUAUCAAAGGGGACAUACUCUCUCCCUAACCACUCCUUUAAUCUUAAUAUAGCUAUAAAACCUCUUGGAAUUUUCCUUACUUAUCUGCUAGAUCCAUCUUCUACCCUCUCUUUAAGAAGAGCUUCAGAUAGAAAUCAGGAAGGUUAUCAAGGAAUUCACUCAUCCCCGACCUCCUAAAUCUGACUGUGGCAUGAUUGAGAAUCAGGCUUUACGAACAGGAGGCUAGAUGAAUUGGUAUAUUCGAAAAGUAUUUGGACACUUAUGUUAAUUUGAUCCACCUCCAACCUUUUUCCUCCUUUUUUUGCUCAUUAGUGUUGCUUUGCUACAGGAACUACCUGAUAUACUACUUUUGUGGUAAUUACUUGAUGUGAAUCCAGCUUUUUAUUUUCCCCUCAACUGUUAAUAACACAAUUCAGUUUGGUCAAUACUGGGGCCGCAAUCUACUGACCUUUCUUUUUGCAAGUGAACAGUGAAUUAUGUUGUUUCGUAACAUGUGACCAUUUUGGCAGAAGAGAUCAUUUUUGGGUAGUAGUGGUUUGAAAGCCUAGUCCAAAUUCCAGUUACUUCUCAUCUUCUGAGGACACAAUAAGUGAGAAGGAUAGGGGAAAUACAGUGGAUGUGGUAGAAAUCAGUUUUCUGAAAACUUCUGAUAGGUUAAUGCAUAGGGGGAGGAGCGCAGUACUGAUAGGGGACUUUGCCUCCCAGCUGCCAGAGUCAGUGAUGUCUUGGAUCUGGUCCACAGCAUUCUAAAGGGGAAGGGUGCAAGUGUGAGAAGUUAUGGUACCAAUGACAAAGGUAGGAAAAGGGAAGAGAUCCUGAAGAGAGAAAUUGGGAAGUUAGGUAGAAAGCUGAAAAGCAGAACCUCCAGGGUAUUGUUGGGGUACAGGACCUCAGUAUUGCUGCCCGUGCAACAUGCCAAUGAAGGCAAGAAUAGGAUGAUUUGGCAGAUAAAUCCAUGGCUGAGGAAUUGGUGCAAGGGACAGGGUUUCAAAUCUCUGGAUCUUUGGGAUCUCUUCAUGGGAAGGAAUGACCUGUAUGAAAAGGACAGGUUACACCUAAACACGAGAGGGACCAACAUCCUUGUAGGCAGGUUUGCUAGAGCUGUUGGAAAUUUGUCAGGUGAAUGGGAACUGGACUGACAGGGCUGAGGAUUGGGCAGUUGGUAUACUAGUAGAUGCAGUAUAUAGGAAGACUGUGAGGAAGGACAGGCAGAUGAUAGGGCAAAAUUGCAGACAGUCAAAUUAGUUGAAGUGUAACAUGGGGGGUAAAUGGAAAAGGGUAAUGAAUACAGAGCCGGAGGUGUUAUCUUUGAAUGCAUGGAGUAUACAGAAUAAGAUGGAUGAUCUUGUAGCAAAGUGUGAAGUUGCCAGGUGCAAGUUUGCGGGCAUCAUGAAGUCGUGGCUGAAAGAAGAUCAUGGAUAGGACCUUACAUCCAAGGGUACACAUUGUAUCAAAAGGACAGGCAGAUAGACAGAGCGAGUAGAAUAGUUCUAUUGGUAAAAAAUAUUAAAUCAAAUCCUUAUAAAGAAGUGACAUAGGAGCAAAAGAUGUAGAAUCCUUGUGAGUGGAUUUAAGAAACUGCAAGGGUAAAAAGACCCUGAUGGGAGUUAUAUACAGCCUCCCAAUAGUAGCCAGGAUGUGGGAUACAAAUUACAAUGAGAGAUAGAAAAUGCAUGUAUAAAGGGCAAUGUUACAAUAGUCUUGGGGGAUUACUGUAUGCAGGUAGAUUGGGAAAAUCAGGUUGGAGCCAGAUCCCAAGAGAUGGAAUUUGUAGAUUGCCGACAAGAUGACAUUUUAGAGCAGCUUGUGGUUGAGUACACUAGGAGAAAGGCAGUUCUGAUUAGGUGUUGUGGGUGUUGUGCAGUGAAAGCUUAAGAUAAAGGAACCCUUGGAAGCAGUAAUUAUAAUACAACAGAAUUCACCCUGCAAUAUGAGAGGGAGGAAAUAAAGUCAGGUGUAUCAGUAUUCCAGUGGAGUAAAGGGAAUUGCAGAGGCAUGAGGGAGGAGCCGGCCAAGGUUGACUAGAAGGGAACACUAGCAGGGAUGAUGGCAGAACAGCAAUGGCUGGAGUUUCUCAAGGCAAUUUGGAAGGCACAGGAUAAAUACAUCCAAAAGAUGAAGGAGUAUUCUAAAGGCAGGAUGAAGCAACUGUGUCUGCAAAGGGAAAUAAAAUCAGCAUAAGAAACAAAAAAGGGUGCAUAUAAUAUAGUAAAAAUUAGCGGGAAGUUAGGGGAUUGGAAAGCUUUUAAGAUCCAACAGAAGGUAACUAAUAUGCCAUACAGAGAGAAAGGAUGAAAUAUGAAAGUAAUUUAGCCAACAAUAUAAAAGAGGAUACCAAAAGUUUCUUCAGAUGCUGUAUAUAAAGAGUAAAAGAAAGGCAAGAGUAGAUAUCGGACUAUUGGAAAAUGAUGCUGGUAAUAAUGGGGGACAAAGAAAUGAUGGAUGAACUUAAGUGUUUUUUUCACUCUUCAAUGUGGAAGACAUUAGCAGUGUGUCAUAAAUUCAAGAGUGUCACGGGACAGCAGUGAGUGCAGUUGCUAUUACUAAGGAGAAGUUGUUUGGGAAACUGAAAGGUCUGAAGAUAGAUAAGUCACCUGGACCAAAUGGACUACACCCCAGGGUUCUGAAAAAGGUGAAUGGUGAAAAAAGAAAUUGUGGAGGCAUUAGUAAUGAACUUUCAAGAAUCACUAGAUUCUGCAAUGGUUCUGAAGAAACAGAAGGUUGCAAAUUUCAUUCCACUCUUUAAGACAAGAGAGGCAAGGCAAGAGAAAGGAAAUUGCAGGCCAGCUAUCCUGACUUCAGUGAUUGGGAAAGUGUUGGAGUCCAUUAUUGAGGAUAUUUCAGGGUACUUGAAGGCACAUGACAAAAAAAAAGGCCAAUGUCUGCAUGGAAAUCUUGCCUGACAAAUCUGUUGAAAUUUUUUGAGGAAAUAACAGGCACAAUAGACAAAGGAGAAUCAGUGGAUGCUACACUUGCAUGUGUAGAAGAUUGGCUGACUGGCAGAAGACAAGAGUGGGAAUAACGAGGGCCUUUUCUGGUUUUCUGCCGGUGACAAGUGGUGUUCUGCAGGGGUCGGUAUUGGGACUUCAUUACAUGUCAUGCAUCAGUGAUUUAGAUGAUGGAAUUAUGGCUGUGUGGCCAAGUUUGCAAACAAUACAAGGAUAGGUGGAAAGGCAAGUAGUGUUGAAAAACAGGGAGUCAGCAGAAGGACUUGGACAGACUCGGAGAAUGGGCAAAGCAUGGAGAAGUGUUUGGUCAUGCACUUUGGUAUAAGAAAUAAAGGUGUAGACAAUUUUCUAAAUAGGAAGAAAGUUCAAAAAUCAGAGGUGUAAAGGGACUUGGGAGCCUUUCUGCAGGAUUCUCUGCAAGUUAACCUGCAGGUUGACUGGCAUCCUGACUGGCCGUGUCACCCGCUGGUACAGGAACUGUACUACCCUCAAUUGCAGGGCACUGCAGAGAGUGCUGCGGACAGCUCAACGCAUCUGUGGAUGUGAACUUUCCUCUGUUCAGGACAUUUCCAGCAGCAGAUUCAGAAAAGGGUCUGGAGGAUCAUCAGAGGCUCCAGCCACCCCAACCACAAUCAGAUGCUGCUUCCAUCCGGCAAACGGUACUGCAGCAUUAAAGCCAGGACCAACAGGCCAUCAGAUUUAUCAAUACACACUGAUCUGAUUGAUUUCCAAAUGUACAUUGUAUCUGACUAUACAUACAUAUAUACUACACAAUUACAUAUACAAUCUUAGUGUUUGGGCAAUAUCCUCCCACAUUUCCCUUCCUUAUUGCUUGUACAUAGCAAUGGAGAUGCAACACCAAGAUCUUUACUCCUUCAUGUUGUGAGAUGAAUGUAAGAAAUAAAAAUCCUAAUUCUAAUUCUAGUUCUAAAAAGCUUGAGUCAGUAGUAAGGAAGCAUAAUAAAUCCCACAUGAUCGAAUGGCGGAACAGACUCAAUGGGCUGAAUGGCAUAAUUCUGUUCCAAUGGUUUAUGGUCUGAUGGUCUUCUGAUACAGAACCAAUAGGAGGGCUGCAAUUUAACUAAAAUAUUAUAAUAAAUAUUGGUGGUAAAAUCUUAUGUGUUCUUAGAAUGUUAAUUUGCUCUUAAGCAUUGGAAGGAAGGGGAUCUAUAGCUUCAAGCCUCCAUAAAUAAAAGUUUUCCCUAACAUUACAAAUUAAAAUAAAUAAAUCAAUAGGUCCAUCGGAUAGCCUCAGGUGCAGUGAUCGCAAUGAAUCAUUAAUCCAUGCUCACUGAUUUGAAUGCAGACAGCAUGCAAGCUUUGUACUGCUGUUCAUUUAUAUAAUCGCUAGUUAUAGUUGGUAUUCACUGCAGUGUAUGCCUCAUCAGGGAAAGAAUGUCAUGAUUAGUGAAUUAAAGCUGGUUUGUACUAUUU